rnacentral:tRNA from 1 species
UAAAUGAAGGCCAAAAAGCGGCGCCUAGCUGUUAAUUAGAAGAUUGUAAUAAUUAUAAAUUACUCAUUUAG